UACGAAGGGGGCUAGCGUUGUUCGGAAUUACUGGGCGUAAAGCGCACGUAGGCGGAUUUGUUAGUCAGGGGUGAAAUCCCGGGGCUCAACCUCGGAACUGCCUUUGAUACUGCAAAUCUCGAGUCCGGAAGAGGUGAGUGGAAUUCCUAGUGUAGAGGUGAAAUUCGUAGAGAUUAGGAAGAACACCAGUGGCGAAGGCGGCUCACUGGUCCGGUACUGGCGCUGAGGUGCGAAAGCGUGGGGAGCAAACAGG
rnacentral:rRNA from 1 species